rnacentral:rRNA from 1 species
AGCAGCCGCCGCGGGAAUACAGAGGGUGCGAGCGUUAAUCGGAUUUACUGGGCGUAAAGCGUGCGUAGGCGGCUUCUUAAGUCGGAUGUGAAAUCCCUGAGCUUAACUUAGGAAUUGCAUUCGAUACUGGGAAGCUAGAGUAUGGGAGAGGAUGGUAGAAUUCCAGGUGUAGCGGUGAAAUGCGUAGAGAUCUGGAGGAAUACCGAUGGCGAAGGCAGCCAUCUGGCCUAAUACUGACGCUGAGGUACGAAAGCAUGGGGAGCAAACAGGAUUAGAUACCCCGGUAGUCCUUGUCUCUUAUAC